GCCUCAAAGAACACUUCCUGUGUGGACAACUAUGAAGAAAAAUGGCGUGUCUCGGCUGGAAGAAACCGGCUACUUUCGUCUGUCCACGGCUGACUCCAUGACCUUGCUCAUGAGGCAAAGCACCGUCCUCAGCGCCUGCAUGUGUGUUUGGCCUGGCAUCCACCUGUUCUGACAGAGCACCCAGAUACUUCAGGAAUGAAGUCCUGGCCAGCCCUGCCUGACCCUGACUGCUGCUGCUCUUGCCUGAGGGUUGGGGCCGUAUCUCAGCAGUACCAGUCAAGGCCCUGACUCCUUACCUCCACAGAGAGCCAUCAUCUGGGGUCUGAACUCACUCUGGCUAGGGACCUUGCUUCCAGAAUCUUCUGUUAAUUCCCCUUCGAAUGUAGCCUGUCUUCACUUUUCAAAGUAUCGUUUAGGAUUAAAAGCUGACCCGAGUUGGCUGUGGCAGCGCGUGCCGAAAAUCCUGACACUCGGUAUCUCAAAG
rnacentral:lncRNA from 1 species